AGAGUUUGAUCAUGGCUCAGGACGAACGCUGGCGGCGUGCCUAAUGCAUGCAAGUCGAGCGGGCUACGAUCUUCGGAUUGUAGCUUAGCGGCGAACGGGUGAGUAACACGUAGGUAAUCUACCCUUCAGAGGAGGACAACCUCAGGAAACUGAGGCUAAACCUUCAUACGUUCACUGGUAGGGAUACUGGUGAAGAAAGAGUUACCUUAGUGGUAGCUGCUGAAGGAUGAGCCUGCGGCCCAUCAGGUAGUUGGUGAGGUAACGGCUCACCAAGCCGAAGACGGGUAACCGGUCUGAGAGGAUGUCCGGUCACACUGGGACUGAGACACGGCCCAGACUCCUACGGGAGGCAGCAGCAGGGAAUCUUGGGCAAUGGGCGAAAGCCUGACCCAGCGACGCCGCGUGGAGGAAGAAGUCCUUCGGGGCGUAAACUCCUGGACUGGGGGACGAGGAAGGACGGUACCCCAGUAGAAAGGGACGGCUAACUACGUGCCAGCAGCCGCGGUAAAACGUAGGUCCCGAGCGUUGUUCGGAUUCACUGGGUGUAAAGGGCGCGUAGGUGGUUGUCUGUGUCUCAUGCGAAAACUCAGGGCUCAACUCUGAGAUUGCGUGGGAAACUAGGCAGCUAGAGGACGGUAGAGGGGAGUGGAAUUCCCGGUGUAGCGGUAAAAUGCGUAGAUAUCGGGAGGAACACCGGUGGCGAAGGCGGCUCUCUGGGCCGAUCCUGACGCUGAGGCGCGAAAGCUAGGGGAGCGAACCGGAUUAGAUACCCGGGUAGUCCUAGCCGUAAACGAUGGGUGCUAGGUGUUG
rnacentral:rRNA from 1 species